UUCUUGUAUUUCCCGCUUAAGCUGACAAACAUUUUAUCUUCCGUUUCUGCAGCGUGAGAGCAUGUCAAAGUGGCUGCCCGGAUGAAUGAACAAGAAUUAGUGUCUUAAAAUGCAAUCGAACCAUGUCAUGUCAUAGUAACAUUUGUUUCAUUCACACAUUCUUCCCGAGUUAGCUUUUAGCUUGUUGUAACCGUUUUGUUUUUAAGAGGCACGCAGAAGAGAAACUAGCAUUCUCAACACUUGAUUUGUUAUAGAACAGCAGCACGAACAUGCAAACUAAAAUGAUACCAAAACAUUAAAAAAAAUGUUGUUUGACCCACUGUGAAAGAGAGAGUGCUGGAAAGCAAAAAUUUGAAUCAGAUGAUUGCAGGGUUUGGACAAGUUGAUCAAAGAAUGGGAACUUCACCUCUUCCUCCUAAUUCAUGUCUGUGAAACCAGCCGGCUUACUAUGACAAAGAGGGCAAGGUUAAUCAUAUUUGACAGUACUAGCAUCACUGAACAAAGUGCAAUGUAAUCCACAGGGAAGUUAAUAACUGGCUGCUCCUGACGUCAGAAACCUGGUCAUUACUGCGUAAGUGAUACGGUGGGGUUUUUAUUUUCUUAUUUGUAACUAUAGCUCUCUGUAUUCCCAUGUGGACCAAUCUCAUGAGUCGAGACAUGGUAUGUGUGAUCUUUUAUUGUGCAAUAAAAGAUGACUUUCAACUUUCCUUUGUCCCCGGUGAGUAAUUCCUUCAUUCUGUGGAGAUUUAUUUAUUUCUUUUUUUUUUUUCAUUUUGCUGAAUCGCUGUCGCUGUAAUUUCUUAAUUUUGUGUCGAAUUUCAGGUUUGUCGACUGUGGUGACCCUGGUGUGGUCUGGCAGCCCGUUCACUGUGUUGUUCUCUGCACAUUGCAUGCUGGGAAAGACUGCAGCGGCCCUGUAACGCUGAGAAGGAUUGAGCAGAGUUUACUUUUCUACCCGUGCCCCUCUCUGAUUUGGAAAAGACUCCCAGGACACAGCAGGACACUUUUUCUUCAUCCUGCACCUCUGUGUCUCGCUGUGGGACGGGCAAAAUGAUGCCGCUUUCUCUUCCAGCACUCUCCCGGACUGCACG